GAGGGUAUAGCUCAGAUGUAGAGUGCAUGCUUAGCAUGCACAGGAUCUUGGGUUCAAUCCCCAGUACCUUCA
rnacentral:tRNA from 1 species